AACGAACGCCGGCGGCAUGCCUAACACAUGCAAGUCGAACGAGACCUUCGGGUCUAGUGGCGCACGGGUGCGUAACGCGGGGGAACCUGCCUUUAGGUUCGGAAUAACUCAGAGACAUUUGAGCUAAUACCGGAGGAAGUCUUCGGACCAAAGAUUUAUCGCCUUUAGAUGGGCCCGCGGUGGAUUAGCUAGAUGGUGGGGUAAAGGCCUACCAAGGCGACGGUCCAUAGCUGGGCGGGGAGGAUGAUCAGCCACCCUGGGACUGAGACACGGCCCAGACUCCUACGUGAGGCAGCGGUGGGGAAUAUUGGACAAUGGGCGAGCGCCUGAGCCAGCUGUGCCGCGUAAGUUAUGCAUGCCUUAGGGUUGUAAAGCUCUUUUACCCGAGAUGAUAAUGACUGUAUCGGGUGAAUAAGCUCCGGCUAACUCCGUG
rnacentral:rRNA from 1 species